rnacentral:antisense_RNA from 1 species
CUCUGAAGCGGGAUUCCACACUCCUGCACCCUAAGAUCCGCUAGACUCUCUGCCUUGUUUCAUCUUUCUUUUCCUAAAGAAUCAUGGGGAGAAUUGACCUCUCUGGGACUCAACUGUGGCUGGAAGGGGACAGGAGAAGCCCUUUCUGGAGGACAGCUGAGCCCUGCAGCUGCCAUCCUGCCUGGCAGGCUAGGGCUGGGCUGUGGGAAGGCCCCCCAGGAGGGAGGUCCGGCCACUGCACCCCGAGGAAAGGGCUGCUUCCGGCACUCUGUGUGGAGGUCCUGGCUUCUGCCGUCCCUGGAGGCUCCGUUCCCGUUUCGCCAGCUAUUUUGCUGCCUCGACCAUCUGUUCCCUCCCUGUCAUCUCCUCUCUGCUUUAACCUUAACCACUACUUCACUGCAGAUGGUACCAGGCAGUUCUGCUCUCGACAUCCUUCACGACGCCUGGCCCUCCUUCUCAUCUCCAGCAAGUGAACCGCUCUGUCCUUUUUAAAGCCUCAUCCCAAAGACAUGGCCAGAGCUUGGAGUUGGAUUCGCCCCACACAACUCCCCCUCCUUGAUGCCAUCUGCUUUCAACUCCACCACUGGCCAGGGGCAAACACCUACCCCUUCCCCUGCCUUUUCCUCCUGAGACUUCUCAAACUCGGCCAAGAACCUCUCCUGGCAUGGAGUGUGUGUCUGCUUCGAGUCUCUAUCUGGUCUCCAUCAACAGAGCCAUGUAACCGCCCAGAGGGCUCCUGGUCGGCAAGCUGAGGAGGAGGCCAGAAACUCCGAAGUUCACUCCUACUGUGGAGGAACGAGGGCUCGUGCUGGGAGUUUGGGUCAUGAACAGUUUCCCUGUAGAAAAUGGACCUGAACACUCUGCAGUAAGGAAUUCUUUCCCGUGCUGGCAUGGUGGGAACCGAACCAAAACACAUUUUCUAUGUUGUCUGAGCUCACAGGGAACAUCACUCUGCUGUCCUUGCUGUUAUUCUGGCUACUGGUGAGAAAAUGCAUGCAUGGGCUUUACUUAGCAACUCGCUCUGCCUCUCCUCUCUGUCAGGGUGCUCCCCUAAAAUCUCUCCUCUUGGCUUCUUUUUUCUGGCAUAAUGACCCGGAGCUGUGAGGAGCGCAGCAGCCCAGGAGCUCCUAAGGAGAGAAGCUGUUUUGGUGAGAUUGGUUCCACCAGGCUACAUGCCUUGACUGGGACAGAAAUGGGCUGGGAAGACCGAAAUUUGACUUCUGCACCUGGAUUUGGGCUAAAAAGUCUCACAGCUCAGCCUCCUUGAUAAGGGUUCUUCUAUCUCCCCUCUACACUUCCUCUGCAGCAGAAAAGAGUAUCUUGGCCAUGCAGGGAACACUCUUCUCUCACCCUCGCCACUGGGGUUAAGGGCAGCUGUAUUACUAAUAGCUCCAAGUCUUGGUUGCCCCCAGAGAGAGGCAGAGAUGUAGCCUGCCCAAAUCUGGCCACUUGAAGACUCUCCAAACACCUAGAGGAGCUCUGGAUUCAAGUGAAGCAAGCAUCUGAUGCCACCAUGGUCCCUCCUUCCCUUUGCCUUCCCUUCUUCCCACAAAAGAGAAGCCCAAAUCCACCACCAGACCAGCCCAUCUACCCGUGGAAACCAAUGGAACCAAAUACAUCGUACUGGGUUGCAGGCCUUAAUCUAGCUCUUGCUGAAUUAUUCAGGGAUGGCAUUAACUUAUAAAUGAGUGUGUUUGACUGAUUUUGUGGUUGAUGUACAGAUAAAUUCUAAUGAAAGACA